UUCUCGGAGGGGGACGUCAGCUGCUCUCUGAACAUCACCGACGAAAUGAAGAGGAUGUUCAAUCAUUUCAGGCGGGAGACCUUCGACUUUGAUGACGACUGCGACAGCUUGACUUGGGAGGAAAACGAAGACACCCUGCUCCUCUGGGAAGACUUUACCAACUGCAACCCCACCGUGGAGCUCCAAGGAGAGCAAGAGGAGAACCUGGGAAACCU